rnacentral:lncRNA from 1 species
GUAUGCACAACACCUAGUAUCCUUCUACUUUUAAAAAAUGUGAUUACUAGAUGCUUUUAAAUUAUUAGAUAUUUUUAAUGUACAAUUUACACAUUAUAUUUCUACUAGGCAGAAAUGAACUAGACUACACUACCAACUGGCAGAAAUUUCUACUGAAUAUAUCCCAGACUUCUUUCUCUGGGCCUCCUCACUUAUAAAAGAUGUACAAGUGUGUCACUUCCAGUUAGAGCAGUCUAGGAUUUUAUAAACUUUAGGCUAUAUUUCUUACAGAAUACUGAUUAAAUCGCUGCUGUAGGUCAAACAGUUUUAUAUGAAUUGGGAUUGACUGUACAAUAUGUGUAAGAGGGAAGAACAGCUCUCCUCAUUUUAUAAAUGAAAAAAAAAGACCCACAGAAGCAGGAACCACAUGAAGAGUUUAAUAAAGGGGGACCAGCAUUAUAAAGAAGGUGAUGUACCUGAAGGAGCUCACAUGUAAGACAUACAGCCAGGCUUCAUAAGAGACCUGAAAAGCAGAAGCUGGAAAGUCAGAACCCUGAUUGGAGCUACUUCUCAAGGGUGUACCAUCUCUCCAUCCUGCGCCUCUCUGCACUUCCAUGUUAAGGAGAUUGAAAUAGGGUCCUUGCGCUUGCAAGGCAGGUGUUGGAACCACUGAGCUAAAUCCCUGGCCCAUGAAGGUCUAUUUUCAAGUCACAGACCAAGACUUGUACAGGAUGGUAGAAGAAAAUCUUCUGGAUUAGAAACCUCCUUCCCGCAGCAUGCAAGAUGCUCCUAUCAACCUGGUGAGAGGAUCAUUUUGACCAAUGAUUCUUACCCAGUGGUAUU